AAGUGACAGUGCCUAUUCCUGCACCAGAAAUUAACACCGUUCAGAAAUACAGGGCAUUUGCCCAGAGUGCAAUGUGACUUUAAUAUGGAACUCUGAAAAAAAAAAAAACAGGUGUGUUGUAGAACAUUGUUUUGGCCUGUGGAGCAGUGUUUUAGACAGUUGUAUCACUUGAAAUUGAGGAGUGUUAAAGGGAUGGUGCACUUCAUUCAAGCAUGCUGUGUUCUACAUAACCUCGCCAUGGAAGAUAACAAAGGUGAAGAAGAUGAUGCACCAGCUGAAGAAGUCGGCUUUUACAACAGGGAUGACAGAAGUGGCAUUGCAAAGAGGAAUAUGAUUGCAGCACAGUUGCAAAUGUAAGAGCAGCACCAGAUGCCCCAUCACUGACAUAUGGCAACAAAUAUAUCACCCUUUGAUGGGCGUAUUCAAGAAAACGGCAACCAACUACCAUUCUACAUCUGAUCUACAGUACCAGGCGAUUGACCACGAAGUCUUCUCGUUAACUCGGCAAAGAACUCAUUACUGCUAUUACUCUUAUUCCCAAAAGAAAAGGAAACUAUGUAACUGUAUUUGGAACACAAACCUUCUACAGUUGUA